GGACGAACGCUGGCGGCGUGCCUAAUACAUGCAAGUUGAGCGCUGAAGGUUGGUACUUGUACCAACUGGAUGAGCAGCGAACGGGUGAGUAACGCGUGGGGAAUCUGCCUUUGAGCGGGGGACAACAUUUGGAAACGAAUGCUAAUACCGCAUAAAAACUUUAAACACAAGUUUUAAGUUUGAAAGAUGCAAUUGCAUCACUCAAAGAUGAUCCCGCGUUGUAUUAGCUAGUUGGUGAGGUAAAGGCUCACCAAGGCGAUGAUACAUAGCCGACCUGAGAGGGUGAUCGGCCACAUUGGGACUGAGACACGGCCCAAACUCCUACGGGAGGCAGCAGGAGGGAAUCUUCGGCAAUGGACGAAAGUCUGACCGAGCAACGCCGCGUGAGUGAAGAAGGUUUUCGGAUCGUAAAACUCUGUUGGUAGAGAAGAACGUUGGUGAGAGUGGAAAGCUCAUCAAGUGACGGUAACUACCCAGAAAGGGACGGCUAACUACGUG
rnacentral:rRNA from 1 species